CGCUGAACUUAAGCAUAUCAAUAAGCGGAGGAAAAGAAACUAACAAGGAUUCCCUCAGUAACGGCGAGUGAAGAGGGAAGAGCUCAGUUUUGAAAUCUGGCAGUCAUUCACUGUCCGAGUUGUAAAUUGAAGAGAUUGUCAUCCACACUGGACCAUGUCUAAAUUGUAAUGAUCCACAGUCCUUUGAUGGAGUAUCAGAGAGGGUAAUAAUCCCGUCUUUAACGUGGACUCCCAGUGUUUAUGUGAUGCAUUCUCUCAGAGUCGAGUAGUUUGGGAAUGCUGCUCUAAUGGGAGGUAAACUCCUUCUAAAGCUAAAUAUUGGCGAGAGACCGAUAGCGAACAAGUACCGUGAGGGAAAGAUGAAAAGAACUCUGAAAAGAGAGUCAAACAGAACGUGAAAUUGCUGAAAGGGAAGCGUUUGGAGUCAGAUGCGUCUUCAUGGAAUAACGGCUUCUGCAAAGAAGGUCAGUGACUUGAAGAUGGGCCAGCACUCACGUAGACCAUUGGAAAAGGGGUCAUUGGAAUGUAGCUCACUUGUNGAGUGAUUAUAGCCUUGAUUCAUAUACAAUGUGUGUGUUAUGUGAGAUAGACAGCACGACUNACUCAGUCAGUGCUUGCUUGAUUGGCAUAAUGGCUCUAAGCGACCCGUCUUGAAACACGGACCAAGGAGUCUAACAUGUAUGCGAGUAUUAGAGUGAUUGAAACUCUGAAUGCGCAAUGAAAGUGGUCUUUGACUGAGAAUCCUCAGUUAGGGGAGGCAUCAGUACCCCGAGUCUGCUAGUCUUUGACUAAAGAUUUGGAGGUAGAGCAUAUAUGUUGGGACCCGAAAGAUGGUGAACUAUGCCUGAAUAGGGUGAAGUCAGAGGAAACUCUGAUGGAGGCCCGUAGCGAUUCUGACGUGCAAAUCGAUCGUAGAAUUUGGGUAUAGGGGCGAAAGACUANUCNACCCAUCUNNUNNCUGGUUCCUGCCGAAUUUUCCCUCAGG
rnacentral:rRNA from 1 species